AUGGCUGUCCGCAGGAGGACAGGCUGGGCCCCCCCGCCGGAAGGAGAAGCCUCUGCGGGAAGGAACAGGCCUCCGGUCCUGCACACCCCUCUCCCGGGCUGGGGGAAUGCUGCCCUUCUUGUUUCAAACUGGUUCACAGAAACACCCCAGCGGGCACUCGCCUGCCAGUGCCCUUCCAGCUCCUGGGGAACAAUGACAGCAAACAAGCAGGGUGUGGGCCACACUUGGAACGUUGUGGCCUCCUGGGAGCUGCAGACUGGCCCAACAGUAGAGAGGGGACAGGGUUCAGGGGCCCAGGGUGGCCUGGUUGCCAGGGAAGUGGCUGGCCCUGCAGGUGCCGUCUCCGUGGGGUUAACCGUCAAGCAACCAGGACAGCACCCCCCGCCGCCCACACCCCACGUCGGUGGAGUGGAUGAGUCACUCGGCAAAGAGGGCUGCUUGGAACCAAACAAACCCCAUCUGCCCAGAGGAGGAUGCGUGGGGCCGGGACACGGCUCCCACCCCAUCCGGCCUGCCCGCAGACGAGUGUCGUGCACACGUGUGUCCACACGUGCACGCACACACACAGCCACGCCAGCCGGGAGCCCAGCUUUUAGAGAGUGGAAGGAGGAGAGAUGGAGGUGCGGCAAAAGGAAAUUUGGAAGUUGGGAGAAGUCCAGAGUUGUAACGCAGUGUGGAGUUCCUGUGAUUGUUUGCACCCCGCAGCCCCACAGGCAUCGAGCCUCCGGUUACGGAUGUAACCGCCCGACCCCCACAUCUGUCGAGCCCCCACUGACUGCCAGGCGGCAUGCUAAGUGCUUGACACACCGGAUCUCACCCCACGAGGGGGAUGCUACGGUUGUGCCCAUUUCACAGAUGAGGAAAAACGAGGCUCAGAGAGGCAAAAUGACUUGCCCAUGUUCACACAGCCGGAAGGGACUGAGUGAGGAUGCCAGCCCGCGUCGCUCCAGGCUGCACCCCCUCCUCCCUGUCGUUGGAGCCCUGACAACGCCCUUCUUGCCGGACUUGUCCAGGUUGCCUCUGUAGUUGCGUCUUUACUCUUAGACUCCCAGCAACUUGAGGGCAGAGCGGCUUCUUUCCCUCAGCAUGGGUUCUAUUUUGCCCAAAUUUCAUAUCUUACAUAAUCUUUAUCCACCAGUACCUCCCAGUCCAGUAAGAAAGUCUGACGAGGAAGGCCGAUAUUCGCACACAGUGGGGGAUGCUGACGGAGGGGCAUGAAGUCGGGGCGGCGCGGAGGAAGGGCAGGAGGAAGACUGGCAAGAGGGCACAUCAGACUCGUAAACGGGUUUUUAAAUUGAGCAAAGCCAUUGAACGGGCAAUUCAAGCUCAUAUAAAAUAAAAUCCAAAAGAAUAUUUUUUUGCCUUUUUUU
rnacentral:lncRNA from 1 species